CCGUGUACGUACAAGCAGUAGGAGCAGGCUUUGUCCUGUGACUGCGUACCUUUUGUAUAAUGGGUCAGCGACUUAUAUUCAGUGGCAAGGUUAACCAUCUAGGGGAGCCGUAGGGAAACCGAGUCUUAACUGGGCGUUCAGUCUCUGGAUAUAGACCCGAAACCAGGUGAUCUAGCCAUGGGCAGGUUGAAGGUUGAGUAACAUCAACUGGAGGACCGAACCGACUAAUGUUGAAAAAUUAGCGGAUGACUUGUGGCUAGGGGUGAAAGGCCAAUCAAACCUGGAGAUAGCUGGUUCUCCCCGAAAUACUAU
rnacentral:rRNA from 1 species